AGAAGGAAAACUUCGGUAGGUCCUCUUCACAGAUGGGAUAGGAGAAAUUCAAAAUGGACGAUCCUUUAGUGAAGAGAGCUAUGUCAAGAAACAGCUCUUUGAUGUCCUCUCCUUAAAGGGCACAAGGACUGGGUUAUGAUGUACAGGUGGUUUACGUGAUGGUGUGUGUGGCUUUGAAGAUAAACUCUGGGACUAUUCUUCAAAUGCUGGGCACGCUGAAAAGGAAUUCCCUCCUGCUUCUGGAAAUCAUGAACUGGGAAAAAGCUAAGGACUUUGUCCUUGGCGUCUGGUGCUGUGGAAUAUGAAGCAUAAGAACAUGGACUCAAUGCCAAACACUAACCCAGGCAUGGAAAGGUUUGAGAUGGGGUCCAGGGACCAAGAGGAUAGAGGUAAAAAGGUGGACAUUGAGGGCUGUUGGGAGAGAGUGGGCAUAGGGUGGGGGGCAUGUAAGGGGAAGAGAAAGUGUGGGCUCAGAGAAGCUGGCCAUCCAGGACCAGUGGGCUGCCUACAGGGCUCACUCAGACCUCUGUGCUGAGGGGGGAACAAUCACUUGUUCAUAGGGAUCCAAGCAAUCCCUGAAAUUAAAAAAUACUAAAAACUUGGGGUGUCUGGAUGGCUCAGUCGUUUAAGAGUCCAACUCUUCAUUUCUGCUCAGGUCAUGAUCUCAUGGUUUGUGGGUUUGAGCCCUACAU